GGGGAUGUAGCUCAGUGGUAGAGCGCAUGCUUUGCAUGUAUGAGGCCCCGGGUUCAGACCCCGGCAUCUUCA
rnacentral:tRNA from 1 species